rnacentral:tRNA from 1 species
GCAUCGUUAGCCAAGCGGUAAGGCACCGGACUUUUAAUCCGGGGAUCGAAAGGUUCGAAUCCUUCACGAUGCA